AACUAAGCUUGUUCUUGGUAUAAGCUUUCGUGUGCAUGCACACUUCUUCAGAUAUCUGAAGAAGUAUCUGAAGAAGUGUGCAUGCACAUGAAAGCUUAUACCAAGAACAAACUUAGUUGG